rnacentral:rRNA from 1 species
UACGAAGGGUGCAAGCGUUACUCGGAAUUACUGGGCGUAAAGCGUGCGUAGGUGGUUCGUUAAGUCUGAUGUGAAAGCCCUGGGCUCAACCUGGGAAUGGCAUUGGAAACUGGCGACCUAGAGUGCGGUAGAGGGUAGUGGAAUCCCGGUGUAGCAGUGAAAUGCGUAGAGAUCGGGGAGGAACACCGUGGCGAAGGCGACUACCUGGACCAGCACUGACACUGAGGCACGAAAGCGUGGGGAGCAAACAGG